rnacentral:rRNA from 1 species
GACGAACCGUGCGAACGUUAUUCGGAAUCACUGGGCUUAAAGCGCGUGUAGGCGGGCCGGCGCGUUCGCCGCUGAAAUCCCCCGGCUCAACCGGGGAAGGGGCGCGAAUACGGCCGGCCUGGAGGGGGGUAGGGGGCGCCGGAACUCACGGUGGAGCGGUGAAAUGCGUUGAGAUCGUGAGGAACGCCCGUGGCGAAAGCGGGCGCCUGGACCCCGCCUGACGCUGAGACGCGAAAGCCAGGGGAGCGAACGGG